GACGAACGCUGGCGGCGUGCUUAACACAUGCAAGUCGAGCGGUAAGGCCCUUUCGGGGGUACGACGAGCGGCGAACGGGUGAGUAACACGUGGGUGACCUGCCCUCAGCUCUGGGAUAAGCCUGGGAAACCGGGUCUAAUACUGGAUAUGACUCCAUGACGCAUGUUGUGGGGUGGAAAGCCUUGUGCGGCUGAGGAUGGGCCCGCGGCCUAUCAGCUUGUUGGUGGGGUGAUGGCCUACCAAGGCGACGACGGGUAGCCGGCCUGAGAGGGCGACCGGCCACACUGGGACUGAGACACGGCCCAGACUCCUACGGGAGGCAGCAGUGGGGAAUCUUGCGCAAUGGGCGAAAGCCUGACGCAGCGACGCCGCGUGAGGGAUGACGG
rnacentral:rRNA from 1 species